rnacentral:rRNA from 1 species
ACGGGAGGCAGCAGUGGGGGAUAUUGCACAAUGGGGGAAACCCUGAUGCAGCGACGCCGCGUGAGUGAAGAAGUAUUUCGGUAUGUAAAGCUCUAUCAGCAGGGAAGAAAAUGACGGUACCUGACUAAGAAGCUCCGGCUAAAUACGUGCCAGCAGCCGCGGUAAUACGUAUGGAGCAAGCGUUAUCCGGAUUUACUGGGUGUAAAGGGAGCGUAGACGGCGAGGCAAGUCUGAUGUGAAAGCUAUGGGCUCAACCCAUAAACUGCAUUGGAAACUGUCUUGCUUGAGUGUCGGAGAGGUAAGCGGAAUUCCUAGUGUAGCGGUGAAAUGCGUAGAUAUUAGGAGGAACACCAGUGGCGAAGGCGGCUUACUGGACGAUAACUGACGCCGAGGUGCGAAAGCUAGGGGAGCGAACAGGAUUAGAUACCCUGGUA